GUAGUCACCCGGGUUGCCGCAAGGCCUUAAACAAAAUACAACUUUUAACAACGGAUCUCUUGGCUCU
rnacentral:misc_RNA from 1 species